CGGGUUUGACGGCCAAGGUCGAGGGCGAGUGCGCCGCGCGCCGCCGCCGCGGCCGGCUCGCUCCGUGAGCGGUGCUGCCCCCUACACCCUGGCGCCUGGCUCCAACCUACGAGCCUACCCUUGAACCACCAUGCCAGCCAGCCCAACAUCUGAUCUCAGGUUAUUGUGGUGGUUGGCUCCCGGUGGGUGACGUGUCGGUAGUGGGGGCCGGCUGCCGGUUCCGCGUCCAGUUAUGCAACAUCCAGCAUCCGCGUCGGUUGGCACGGGACAAGAAAACCGCAAAAGCGCUGUAGAUAAAAAAAAGGUUACCGGCGCGGCGGGGCAUCGGAAUGAGAAGCGAAACCUCAAUCUUCAUCGUUGCAUCUCUAGUCUAUAAGUAUCUUUAAGAUCAUGUAGGUAUUCGUGAUAUAUGUAAUAUGAUGUACUACUGGCCUACAUCCUAACUAUGGGUUUUGGUUCACUACUUACCCAAUUAGCAACAAGUUUUCACUACAAAACUAGCGAUAAAUAACUUCGGUACCAAUAGUUACCAUCUGCAUAAGUAAUCUAAUAUCAAUCCAAUAGGCGCCCAUUGGCGAUUCGAAAGCAACAUAAAAACCAGUUAUUUUAUCAAAGGAAAUGCCACAUUUACUUAAGUAGAAAUCACUUUAACUUACCCACAUCCCACAUGUAGGCAAGUAUCUACUUAGUUAUUUAUACCUUGGAAGUGUUUGACUGACGAGUUUAUUGGAAUCUAAUCAAAUAUACUCGAUAAAUAGUAGGUAAGCUUCAAGUACCAAAUUUCUCCUGUUUUUAAAUUCUAAAAUUUUCCUUACAUGCUAGUUAUAUGUACUUACUGCCUAUUUAUGUAAAAAAAUUAAGAAGAAAACCGAAGAUUCUGGAAACAUGGAAGAAUGUGAACGGGUUGACCGCGUU